rnacentral:rRNA from 1 species
CACGUAGGGCGCAAGCGUUGUCCGGAAUUAUUGGGCGUAAAGAGCUCGUAGGCGGUCUGUUGCGUCCGCUGUGAAAACUCGGGGCUUAACCCCGAGCCUGCAGUGGAUACGGGCAGGCUAGAGUUCGGUAGGGGAGACUGGAAUUCCCGGUGUAGUGGUGAAAUGCGUAGAUAUCGGGAGGAACACCAGUGGCGAAGGCGACUACCUGGCCUGUUCUUGACGCUGAGGCGCGAAAGCUAGGGGAGCAAACGGGG